GGUCGGCUGACGCGUCCGCGCCCCGAGGCCCCGCAGGUCCCACCUGGAGCAACAGGGCGGGGAUGGGCGUCAGGCUCCGCGGCACUGGCCGACCUGGUUCCUCAGCACCUGCGGGCCGGGGCUGCUGAGCCCGCCCAAAAAGGUCGUUUCCCUCGCAGUUUCCAACAUGGCAGGCAGGUUUUAUACAUGGAUAAGAAGUCCACAGAACGCAGAAGUUCUGAAGAUGCCAGGACCGGCAGAAGUGGAGGGGGACACGGGUUCGAGCCCUGGUCUGGGAAGAUCCCACAUGCCGCGGAGCAACCAAGCCCGUGAGCCACAACUACUGAGUCUGUGCGUCUGGAGCCUGUGCUCCGCAACGGGAGAGGCCGCGACGGUAAACACAAACAAAAGGAAAGAAAGCAAAAGCAAAACCACCACCGAUCCCGACAUAGAUCAUCAACAUCUCAUUCUUCAGAUGACUAUGUGUUUCCUUCUCUUACAUCAUCUUCAGGAAGCCAGACGGAUUCAUGUGUCAAAGAAUAAUACCCACUGUGUGCCAGGCAUAAUGCUGCUACCAAGGGAAGAAUUAAGACAAAGAGAAGAGAGAAAAGGAGUAAAUGGCGAAAAGAAAGAAAAGUAUCUUCUGAGAUGUCCGUCAUUCAGUCUGGUCCUCAGUCAUUGAUCCACGCCAUUUGCGACUGAGAUGCCUUCAUUCCUGUCUGCCUAGUCCUUUCAGAUCCAUGGUUGGUUGAACCUGGGGAUGUGAAACCCAUGGAUCCAGAGGGCCGUCUUUAUAGCACUCUGGAUUCAUUUCAAGACCACACACACCUAGAUCAUUUUGAUCAAAAGUGCCCUUGGGAAAUCUCACCUCCUCCAGGAAGCCUUCCAGAGUAAUUCAGAGAAGAGUCAAAAGCUGUUUCGUCUUGUCUGUCUGGAACACCUACAGGUAACCACACCCCUGCCCCAUCUCCUUUAUGGUGACUACACAUAGAGGCGCUCAGUAAAUAUUUGAUGAAUGAAUGAAUGAAUGAAUUCUUAAGAAGUGUAUUGACCACUUACUAUGUGCCUGGCAUAUCUCGGGAGAUACAAACUCAAGUCAGACAUGGACCCCGGCCUCCCAGAAAGAACAAUCUAAUGAAUGAUGCUGAUACAUCAUAAACCCCUCAAUUCUCACUCACAGCUUCACUCAGCCCCUGUCCUGUGUGACCUCCAAGUUGGUGUUCACAUGCACCCACGCAUUAAGGCACAUUUUAAAGUACGUACUCUGUGCCCAGAAGGUGGUGGAGACCAGAGAUGAAAGACCUGGUUCCUGCACUUAAGGAUUUCACAAACUACUGGAGGCAGUGGCCUGGCAGGGAGGGGGGGGAAUCAACAGAAAACCGCAUACAUUUCCACCACUGUGUCGUAAGUACAGUGAUGAGGAUUUGGGGGCUGUUCUGAGUGCACAGAGGAUCUGUAACGCUGAGAGGCAGUGAGGCAUGUGGAAGGGAGCCUGGCUUCCACUCCACGUGGGCCACUUGCUUGUAACCUGAGAGAAAACAUAACGCACCUCACCACAGGGUCACGAACAAAUGAGAUAAGGUGGGUAAACUGUGAAGGACCAUUCAAAUGUUAAUUAUUAAAGGAAUUUUCUUGCUGACAAAGCCAUUUCUGUCCAUAGCAAUAUUGUUAGACUGGCUCAUUUGAAUAAAAGAUGUAUUUCUCCCAUCCCUGAAGCUGCACUUUGGAGCAGCUUAAUUUCCUACUGGCUUGAUUUCUUUUCUACUAAGGAGAGGCUAACCUCAAUCCACUCUGCCCUGUGUUCCGGAGCCUGGAUACUUAGUGAGAGCCUCGCAGAGGCCCAGAGCCCCAAGCAAGGGCCAGAAGUAGUUCUAAGCAGUUAGCUUCAGGACUUGGCUACACGGAAAGGAAUGACUUGUUCUGGAAUGGAAUUCUCCCCACACACCAAAUGCUAGCUGGGAGGGGAGACCGGGCUAGAGAACUUCCAAGCUUGACUGCAGGGCUUUGGGAAUGUUUCAUUUGUUCCAACAAGGGAUUUGUAACUGGAACGCAACACAAUCAAAUGUGCUAGAAAACACUCCAACUUCUCUUAGCUUUUGAAUGCCUUUCUCUGUAAUACAAAAACUCUUGGACAUUUUUAGAAACUUAAAAAAAUCAUUUUGCUAUUUUUGCCUUGAUUAUGAUAAAGUCAUGGUUUUUAGUCAAUGUUUUUAUUUUUAGAUUAGCAUCUUAUGAAAUAUAAUAAUGCUAAUUUAAUACAAUAGGUAAUAAUAUUCAUAAGGAAACAGAUGCCAAUUUCUCUAACAAAUGAAGCAAGGUGUUAAACUGAUUUAAAAUAACUGUCUAAAAAUGAUUUGUUGUUGAAUAAAUUUUCAAAUUACCUAUUGUGUUUUGUUGGGGAACCACAUGAAUAUUAAGACAGACUGAAAUUUCACUACGUGUUGGAUGAUGGCAUCAAAAACAGAUAAAAUUUUUUCACUACCUACUAUAGAAUUCUUGAGAUUUCCCUCGAGUUAUUUUGAUAAAUUUUAGUGUUUUGUUUCUAAAUGGCAAGAAAAGAGGAGAAGGUUUUCAGUUGCUGUUUGCAUGCGUGUCUCAAAAAAUAAGACACAUAGGGCUUCCCUGGUGGCGCAGUGGUUAAGAAUCCGCCUGCCAAUGCAGGGGACACGGGUUCGAGCCCUGGUCUGCGAAGAUCCCACAUGCCGCGGAGCAAAUAAACCUGUGCACCACAACUACUGAGCCUGCGCUCUAGAGCCCGCGAGCCACAACUACUGAGCCUCUGUGCCACAACUACUGAAGCCCGCACACCUAGAGCCCGUGCUCCACAACAAGAGAAGCCACCGCAAUGAGAAGCCCGCACACCACAACGAAGAGUAGCCCCCGCUCGCCGCAACUAGAGAAAGCCUGCACACAGCAACGAAGACCCAACACAGCCAAAAAUAAGUAAAAUAAAUAAAUUAAAAAAAAAAAAGACGCAUAGAUGUGAAGAGUAUUUUCACCAAAUGAAAAGUCAAAUUAGAUAUACUGUCUAUAUUGAUUUUUGAUGUUACUUUUCAGGGUAUUAGAGAAUUUUGCUUGCUCUGGAAGAACUUUAAUCAAAUGAAAAAAACAAGGAUCUGAGUAAAGAGCAUCCUUAGGCUAAUUUGCAGAAUUGUUAUCAUUUAUGUGCAGCCAUUAACUUAUUGCAUACUAACACUCAUGUUUCAUAAGCACUCUUUUAAAACAACAUUUUAUUGUGGAAUUAAAUAAACACUAUACAACCAAGAAUAAAACAGACUACAACUUUCUUGUCAAUAUGUGGGGCUUGAUUAGAUCCUCAUUCAAAGAAAUAGACUGCAAAGGUCAUUGGUUGGGAAUAGGGAAAUUUGAAUAUGGUUUGGGUAUUAGAUGAUACUACAGAAUUACUGUUAAUUUUGGGAGGAGUGAUAGUAUUGUAUUGUAGUUACACAGGAAAAUUUUCUUAUUCCUUUGCAGUGUAUCCUGAAGUAUUCAGGGGUAAAGUAUUAUGAUGUCUAGGAUUUAUUUUAAAAUACUUCACCAAAAAAUAGAAAAGCAAAUACGGCAACAUGUUAAUAA